rnacentral:rRNA from 1 species
UACGUAGGGUGCAAGCGUUAAUCGGAAUUACUGGGCGUAAAGCGUGCGCAGGCGGUUGUGCAAGACCGAUGUGAAAUCCCCGGGCUCAACCUGGGAAUGGCAUUGGUGACUGCACGGCUAGAGUGUGUCAGAGGGGGGUAGAAUUCCACGUGUAGCAGUGAAAUGCGUAGAGAUGUGGAGGAAUACCGAUGGCGAAGGCAGUCCCCUGGGCCUGUACUGACGCUCAUGCACGAAAGCGUGGGGAGCAAACAGG